AAAUGCGAUAAGUAAUGUGAAUUGCAGAAUUCAGUGAAUCAUCGAAUCUUUGAACGCACCUUGCGCUCCUUGGUAUUCCUUGGAGCAUGCCUGUUUGAGUAUCAUGAAAUCUUCAAAGUAAAUCUUUUGUUAACUCAAUUGGUUUCUACUUUGGUAUUGGAGGUCUUUGCAGCUUCACACCUGCUCCUCUUUGUUCAUUAGCUGGAUCUCAGUGUUAUGCUUGGUUCCACUCGGCGUGAUAAGUUAUCUAUCGCUGAGGACACUGUAAAAGGUGGCCAAGGUAAAUGCGGAUGAACCGCUUCUAAUAGUCCAUUGACUUGGACAAUACUUUUAUGAUCUGAUCUCAAAUCAGGUAGGACUACCCGCUGAACUUAAGC
rnacentral:misc_RNA from 1 species